rnacentral:tRNA from 1 species
GGGGCCUUAGCUUAGCUGGUAGAGCGCCUCAUUUGCAAUGAGGAGGUCGCGAGUUCGAAUCUCGCAGGCUCCA